ensembl:lncRNA
GUUUAUAAGCAGAGGAAGAUGCAUGUACUCGUCGUGGUACGAAUUUUUGGUAUUUUUGUUUUCUUUGCAUGCAAAAAAUUAUUCUUGUAGCUUCAUAAUAUUAUGGUUGAACCAUUGAUGUCAGUCACAUGGACUAUAUUUUAACAAUAUGGAUUUCAUCAGAAAUAUCUUAUUUACAUUCAGAAGAUGAACAAAGGUCAAAGGUACACAUGAGGGUGAGUAAUUAACGAAAAAAAUAAUAAUAAUUUGGUCAUAUGAUGAGAUUUCAAGUUUUCCUUUCUCUUUUUGGAGUGUAACAAGCUGUUCUUGAAUAGAUAAGAUCCCUAAAGUUGCAAAGACUAAAGUCUCAAACCCAAAAAGAUAUUCUUUAUAAAAGUUAAGACUCGUCCACACCAUCCUAAAACGCCUUGUUGCAUCACAAUGUGGGAAGAUUUGCAUAACACUGCCCAUAUGUUCACACAAAGAAAGAAGGCAUAACUUUGAUUAUCGCUGUAGUGUUGUUGCUGCCGCCGUGUUGUGGAGAUGCUGUGUUUCCUUGUGAAAGCGAAACUACUUUGUUUGGCCUUCCAUAAGAGGACACAACUAGAAAUCAGUGGUUAAGUUAUAUUUACAACACUGUUCCAGAACAGUUCAACCCAAAUAUUCAGAUGUGUGCAGCGCAUUUUAUGGAGGACUGUUUCCUGAUCCUGGGAGAGUAGAUUACAAUGCCGGCCGUUCUGACACACAGUCUGUAAGUAUGUUUACAUAUUUAAAGAAUUUGCCACUGAUGAUUCAAAUGUGUAUUUUGAGCAGUGUAGAGUAGCGCUUGUUGUUUCUUGUUUCUCUGAUCACAAAUGUAGACAUGGUUUUAUGUUUAUGCAGUGCGAUGCAAUGCAAUGCGUAAAAAGACAGUAAAAGUCAUUAUAAACAGUAAUUAUGUCCUCACUGGAUGCAACAAAUGGCUCUUUGUAAUGGGUUUUAUUGUUUUUGUCUUGUCACGCCGGUGUUCUGACCGGGACAAUCCACUGGAUAGCUGGCCAAUCAGAGCAAACCUAGCUUUUCAGAACGAUGAGCUUCGUAAAAAUCUACACGUUUCAGAAAGUGUCUCGAUUUCUCUACGCUUGGAAUAGAAGCAAUCUCAAAUAUCAAGCGGGCCGUAGGUCUGAAGCAGCUUAUGACGCUCCACUAACCUCAGCGGAGGAGAUAAACUCCUACAGUAGAGGAAAGCAGCUCUCAGGUCAGCGUAGACUCAGCACUAAGUGUUGAUAUUCAUCAUGAUCGCUUUGUUAAGACAUUAGGGUCUCGGGGAGGAAAGCGCUACCAGGUGGCUACUGGCUGUGUACAGCUCCUCCAGUAUGACCUCAUCCUGCUACCUUUUUGUAGAAGCAUAACCGAGAGCUUGUAUUUCCUGAGAGUUAUCGUUAAUAAUAGACAACUAGCAGCUUCAGUGAGCGAUCUGACAUUUAGUGCAUUAAAGAAGAAAUCCUAAUAUGCCAUCUUGAUGUAAAAUUAUGCUUAAACCACAAAGCCUUUGAGAGGUUAUUAAAGGCUUAUGUAAGUUUCAUGACAGGCUACAAGGAAUUUACAGAUUUAUGAAGGAGAAUAGUUAUUAUUUUACACAUUUAUAGCACUGGAAUCCAGACUGACAUGAAAUUUUAUGUUUGACUUAAGAGGCUGUUUGAAUGCUGAGAGGAAAGAGGCUGUUAUUUUCUGCCUGCUUAAGUAAAUGUUUGCCAAAUGGGACUAAAUGGUACGUUUAACACACUAUACUUCACUUGUGCCUGGAAUACUUAAUUCUGAUUGGUUAGUUCAACCUGAGCUCAUGAGAAAACACAAGUUUUUUGGGAGUUGGCAAUUUCGUAUGAAUUCAUUUAAUUCAUAAGAAGGCCGUAGAAAAAAAAAAUCAAAUUAAAUUGUGUGAAUUCAUACAAAUUCAAUACCAAUUCAGCAAAAUUGCACUAUUUUUUAAAUAAUGACGACUUAACAGUGUAAUUUAAUGUUGUCCCAGGCUCCACUUUGUAUCGAGUUGUAGUUUUUUUUCCAAUAAUGACCAGUCAACUGUAAUUAUAACUUACUUGACUAAUGAACAUUGUUUUAGCUUUGUCAGAGAAACCAUUAAGUGGAAUAGAAACUACAUACUUUGCAUAUGGGGAGGACCGGUACUGACUAGAAAGUCAAUAAAAAGUGAAAAAGUACCCAAUUCACUUACUUUGAAACCGGACUCACAGUGAAUUUCAAAAUAUCAUAAAAUUUAGUACGGUUUAUGCUUAAAAUAUUAAACAUUUCAUUUAUCACAUUCAUUUUCUUGUUUUAAGAAUGAUUAAACAUUUUAGUGAAUUUUUUAAUAUUUUAUGGCUGAGCACAGAUUUACGAAUUUUCUAAGUUUAGAAUUUUCUGAUGUUUCCAGGCUUUCUUUUACAAUCCAAACCCAGUUUUUGUAUUUAAAC